UAUGUCUCAGACUAGCCAUGCACGUCUAGUACAAACUAAAUGAUGGUGAAACUGCAAAUGGCUCAUUACAACGGUUAUGAUGUACCCGGGAGUUCCGAUGGAUAUUUCCAGUAACACUAGAACUAAUACAUGUCCCUGCGUUUAUUAGUUUCGCACAGUCCGUCGCUGAGUCAUGGUAAACAGUUGAUCGACUCGACGUCCCGGAACAGUUUCCGCCCCAUCAGCUUCGAUGGUUGGGUAUUGGCCUACCAUUGCAACAACGGGUAACGAGGAAUUAGGGUUUGAUUUCGGAGAGGGAGCCUGAGAAACGGCUACCACAUCUACGGAUGGCAGCAGGCGCGCAAAUUACCCAAUGCAGACACUGUGAGGUAGUGACGAGAAAUAAUAAAGCGGGACUUCUGUUUCGCUAUUAUAAUGAGGAAUAACCAAAGGUCAUUCCGAUUAGCAACUGAUGGGAAAGUCUGGUGCCAGCAGCCGCGGUAAUACCAGCGUCAGUAGCA
rnacentral:rRNA from 1 species